UCGUCGCCGUUUUUACAAAAAAGUCCUUAUGGUUUUUGGUAAUUAAACCCGCAGUCCCUUUUUAAGUUGAAAAAAACGUUUCGUUUAGAAAUUUUACCAGGAAAACCUUGUGGUUUCCUGUAUUCAACCCGCGGUCCUUUUAAUGUGAGAAAAUCGCAAGGAAGACAGGCGGAUCUGGGCGCAGCGUCGAGGGAUCUAGCGGCUGGUGCGGCGGCUUGCUCCGGUGGCCGCGGUGUCCUGCUUAUCCAGAGAAACAGGGCAUGAGGGAGAGAGGAAAGAGAUGAAAAAGGAGAAGGAGCAGGGGCGCAAGGUGAGGGAGAGGGAUCUGGCGGGUGGUGCGGGGGGCUUCGGUGGCGGCGGCGUCCUUCUCAUCCAGAGAAAGGGAGAGACAGGGCGUGAGGGAGAUAGGAAAGAGAGGAAGAAAGGAGAAGGAGAGGGGGGCGCAAGGUGAGGGAGAUGGUCGCCGGCGGUGGCGCCUCCGGUGACCGGCCGGCGGCAGGACCGAUGGUGUCUGGAGUUUUGGACACCUGAGCGAGCUACCCUGCUGCUGCUAAUUCUUCUCUCCCCACGCCUCUGCUGCUGCUCCUUCUACUCCUCAGAUGCCCAUGCUUGCUCUCAAACAAUCAUUGUUGAAGGACUGAAGGGCAUGAUUUCUGGACCACAGAUGAUGCAUUUUAUUGGCAGGCACAAUCAAGGGCCCAUCAUCUUUCUGCUAUAGGUUCAACACAAACAACAGCUAUCUUGUUGAGAUUCAAUUGCUAUUCGGUGGAGAGCAGCCACAAAAAGUUCCUCAAUUGAUGCACAGUGGCCACCGAAAACAGAUCUCGCUUUCAAUCUCUAAUUGAUUCUCAGCUACAGAGUGGCAUGUAUCUAUAGACUUGCUAAUGUGAUGGCUAAUGCAUGUGUAUUAAUUCAUGAAUUAGCAAAAUAUUUCCCGUGAGAUGUGCUAAUAUACAAAUUUGAUGUUCACAGUGCCCUCCACUUUUUUUUUGUUAUGCCUAUAAGAGAUGACUUAUUUUCAAUUUUUAAAUAGAAAAGCACAGUAUGGUUGCUCUUAUAUACAGCUCAUAAAAAGGAAUUACAAAUAAGAAGAGUGAUGUGUUCUCCUCAAAACAAAAUUGCUGAAAUUCACAUGCAUGGUGGCGCCAUACAGCGAGCGCAUGGUGGCAGAGUUCACAAGCUAGAUCUCUGACUGGCGUAAUGGCUUGUCCUGAUGCAGAGAAGGACGGGGUUCAAGUUGUUGGGCCGGUGGCAGGGGCAGCAUGAUGUUUUCGUCAGGUAACAACCUAGCCAUCGACUCAAGAUUUAACUGAACCAAUUCCUUUAAUUCAAGCUCCAAAUCGUUGUUAUUUGAUUCACUAAUUGGUUGCUGGCAACAACUAAUUGGACAUAUAAUUGUUGAUUUAUGUACAAACAAUAUCUUCAGUAGUUUUCAGAUCUUCAAUAAGGAUCAUCAAGCCCUCUGUUUUUUAUAUGAAGAAUAGAUAUUGUAAUUGUGCCUCCAUUACGUCUAAAAGUCAGAUAUCGGAAAAAUGUCAUUGGCAUAUCUCUGUCACGAUGGAGGAUUGGUUAGACAGAAAAAGGACCUCUGGUUAUGUAUGACAUGAUGCGAGGCACAUAUCUCUGAAUGAAGCGCAACAAGAAUUGACAUCCUCUAAUGCUAACUGUUGAGCAUUCUUCUCUGAAGUAUCAGAGGUGUGGAUUGGAAUCAGUUUUUUUGCUGCACCCCCAUUCCGACGAGGUCACGCACACAUACCACUGGGAAUCCCACGAACCCUAUGUUCGAGCGCGAGCGACGGCAAUAGCAUCUGCAAGUACUUGACCAACACGCUACCCGGGUGUGGUAUCCACUAUUGAGGCCAAGCAACCUAGCUCGGUCAUCCUUAAGUGUGUUUGUGUCCACCACCUGAUGAAGAACGGGAGAAGAUUGCUGACUUUGUGCCUAGUGAUGGUUGCCUGAACUUCGUAGAGCAAAUUGACGAGGUGUUGAUUGCUGAAUUUGGUCUUAAGAGGCACGUCGUGGGAGAUAUCCCUUGUGGCAGGUUCAAAGUUGUGAUGGUAUCUGGUGUCUCCCAGCGAGAUUUGUUCCUUCUCUUAACAGUUACUAUUAAGAACAAAUUUAUGUUUCCAGCAAAAAAGUUGGCCGGCCCCAGCAAAAAAAAAGAACAGUUCCAGCCAAAAAAGAUCGCCGCCGUGGUCACAGGUGUCAACAAGCAGUCUUCGGAAUCAUCAAUAAGCCAACAGCGAGAAAUAAGUUCAAGAAUUGAGUUCCCUUAACAGGGAAAUAAGGAAGGGAAGAAACAAAUAGGGAACAAUCAGAUGAAGCAUCAAGGAAAAUGGAUUGAACAAUCAGAUGAAGCAUCAAGGAAAAUGGAUUGAACAAUCAGAUGAAGCAUCCAGCUCGAGGAGAAGCAUGGUCUGCAAGGAGACCAAUCAUCUUGAGGUGGUUCUUUCAGCUACUGCAUGUUCCAUUAGGGAGAAGGGUACUUAGUCGAUCUUAGGAGCCAGACUCUGCUUUCCUUGCAGGGAGAAUUUCAAUAAAUGGUACUAUUACUCUCCCAACAAUUCUUUUAUCACUACAAAAUGUGUAGGAACCUUAUUUUUCUUAAGUGGCAUAAUGUGAUUUCUUAAGUGUUGUGUUGUAACACUUUAGAGUAAAAGAAUAAUUAUGUAUGAAGAAUAAUAUUACCGAGUCAGGCAGAAUUUGACCUUAGUUCUGACCAAAUUAAUCUUUAUUUGUUUGCCAGGUUGUGUGUCAAACAUCACUUCAUGUUGUAGUCCAUUUUUUCCUUUCAAAAGCCACAUUAUGAAAUUUGGCUUUAUAAGAAGUUUCACUUUAUUAUUAGUGGAGAACGGGAGAUAAGGAAAGGGAAGGGAAAAACAGUAAUUCUAGCAACUAGCCAUUGUUCCGUGGCAAAACACAGGUGUUUGUUCUAUUAUGUCCAUCGGAAAUCUUUACGGAGGAGUUGGGACUGAGUGAGUGACAUAGAUUUGCUUGAGGUCACAAAUUCUUUUCUGCUGUUACUUGCAUCUUACUUGAAUUUUUUUCUUCAAGUUCUUCCUGUUUUCCCAUAUCCUCUGCUCUAUAGAAGCUGCUACAUCAAAUUAAGUAAGUGCAUCCUUCUUUUUUGUCCAAGUUUGUUCUAUUCUAUUACUCAGAAGUCUGUACAAGACUGAGAGAGUGAAGCAUAUUUGCUUGAGAUUUGAAUACUUUUUUGAUGUCGGGUUUGUACACUAUACAGUUUGAUUAAUGAAAACUGAUAAAAGUAGUGGCAAACACUUGAUUGAGUAAGCUACUGGAUUUUACCAGUAAUACACAGUAGUUUCUUGCAAUAUUAUCUGCAUGACAAGAAACACCCAUAUUUGAUUUUGCUCUGUGAUUGGUUCAAAUAUCACUUUUUGGCUAAAGCUGAUUGGAUACGAGUAGUAGUGCCAACAGUAAUAACUUUAAAUAUGAUUUUACCAUGGCUCUAAAUUUUAUUGCUGAUGAUUUGUUUCAGGAUAUUUGGAGAGGCUAUUUGCACCGUAGUUCAAGACAGCUGAUAGAGUAUAAGCUAGGCAACUCACUUAUAUUGUUACUUGUUUAAAUGGUUAUCUAUUCUGCCGGCAUAUUCACAUGCCAUAUUAAUUUCAGAAGAACAAUUUCUAA